rnacentral:siRNA from 1 species
AUGGAUAUGCAACUCUUGUAACCU